rnacentral:rRNA from 1 species
UACGGAGGGUGCAAGCGUUAUCCGGAUUCACUGGGUUUAAAGGGUGCGUAGGUGGGUCUGUAAGUCAGUGGUGAAAUCUCCGUGCUUAACAUGGAAACUGCCAUUGAUACUAUAGGUCUUGAAUUUUCUGGAGGUCAGCGGAAUAUGUCAUGUAGCGGUGAAAUGCUUAGAUAUGACAUAGAACACCAAUUGCGAAGGCAGCUGGCUACAGGGAUAUUGACACUGAGGCACGAAAGCGUGGGGAUCAAACAGG